GAAAGCGGUGCUAAUACCGAAUAAGACCACGGUAUCACAUGAUACAGUGGGAAAAGGUGGCCUCUGUAUAUGCUAUCACUUGGAGAUAAGCUCGCGGACCAUUAGCUUGUUGGUAGGGUAACGGCCUACCAAGGCCAAGAUGGUUAGCUGGUCUGAGAGGAUGAUCAGCCACACUGGAACUGAGACACGGUCCAGACUCCUACGGGAGGCAGCAGUGGGGAAUAUUGCGCAAUGGGGGAAACCCUGACGCAGUGACGCCGUGUGAGUGAUGAAGGUUUUCGGAUCGUAAAGCUCUGUCAGAUGGGAAGAAUAAAGGCAGGGAAAAUAUUUCUGCCUGAUGACGGUACCAUCAGAGGAAGCACCGGCUAACUCCGUGCCAGCAGCCGCGGUAAUACGGAGGGUGCAAACGUUGUUCGGAAUUACUGGGCGUAAAGCGCAUGUAGGCGGAUAUGGAAGUCAGAUGUGAAAGCCCUUGGCUCAACCAAGGAAGUGCAUCUGAAACCACAUAUCUUGAGUAUGAC
rnacentral:rRNA from 1 species